UGCAAACGCGUUUCGAACGGUUGCAUGUUGCAUGUGGCGUGUGGAUGAAAACCAGAAUUAACUCGUAUUAGCCAAAUACAAGUAGAAUAUAAAAAAUAAGAAAUACAUCAGUAUAAAAUACGACAUGUGCUUAAUGCAAAUAAAUUGUGACUGUGUGUGUUUGUGUAUGUGCAGUAACUAGAAUUAAAAAGAAAAUUAAUUGUUUUGACAGUUGUCGAUUGUGAACUGCAAAAAUUGUGAAUUGCAUGCCAGCGGCACGCACACAAGCACAGGUGUCAGGAAUUGCCGAGCCGUCGAGCCGAGCUGUCAGUUCGUGUCGAAUCGUUCGUCGUGCUGUGUGUUUAUUUAACACAGUUACUCGUGCUUUGGCCACUCAGUUCGUAUUUGCAGCUCGUGCCGUGCGUUCGUCCUUCACACACACGCACACACACACAUUGUGAAUCCUUAAGUUUUCGCGUAUAUCGCGGCGAACAUGUGAAAACAGUCGAGCACUUCCGAUCAGAUCAGAACUUUUUUCUGGCUCAAUGGUAAACGCCGUGCUCAAAACGUGUUCGUCGAUUUUGCAUCAAUUUAGUUGGCAUUGCGAUUGAAUCCUUUUUCGUCGUUUGAUCGCACGCGUGUGCGUAUCUCUGUGUGUCUGUGUGUCUGUGAGUGCCACCUGUUUUUAGUUACAUAGCCCCAGAGCGCGCCACAGGACCAGGCAUGUUGUGCUCGAUGGCCAAGUUGCGGCGGAGCCUGCUCAGCGCGGCUUGGCUGCUUGUGCUCGGCGCGCAAAUAAUUUAUGUGGAUUAUGCUCGGGCGGAUUAUGAGAACACUUGGAAUUUAUAUUACGAGCCACCUUGUUGCACGGGCGCAGCAGCUGUUGGCCAUCACCUGCGGCAUCACAAAGAGCAUGUCAAGGACUUCAGCUGUGGCCCGCUGCACUACAAAACCUUUUAUAUGGAUGAGCGCAACAACGCGCUCUAUGUUGGCGCCAUGGAUCGCAUAUUUCGCUUAAAUCUGCGCAACAUCAGCCAAUCGAUAUGCGAGCGCGACGUUCUAAUACUGGAACCCACUGGCUCCGAUAUACUCAACUGCGUCUCCAAGGGCAAGCGAGAGAAGGUGGAAUGCCGCAACCACAUACGCGUCAUCCAGCCCAUGAACUUCAACGGCCAUCGGCUCUACGUCUGCGGCACGAAUGCGCACAACCCCAAGGAUUAUGUUAUAAACGCCAACUUAACACAUUUACCCAGAUCCCAGUACGUGCCCGGCAUAGGGUUGGGCAUCGGCAAGUGUCCCUACGAUCCCGCUGACAACUCAACCGCCGUCUAUGUGGAAAACGGAAAUCCCUUUGGUUUGCCUGCGCUGUACGCCGGAACCAAUGCUGAAUUCACCAAAGCUGAUUCGGUUAUAUUCCGCUCGGAUCUCUAUAAUUUCACCAAUGGACGUAAAGAGGCCAAUUUUAAGCGCACCGUCAAAUAUGACUCCAAAUUACUGGACAAACCGAACUUUGUUGGCUCCUUUGAGAUCGGCGAUUUUGUGUACUUUUUCUUUCGGGAACACGCCGUGGAGUACAUCAACUGCGGCAAGGCUGUCUAUUCCCGUGUGGCUCGCGUUUGCAAGAACGAUCGCGGCGGCAAAUACAUGAUCAGCCAGAACUGGGCGACAUAUCUGAAGGCGCGCAUGAACUGCAGCAUCUCGAGCGAGUUCCCUUUCUACUUCAACGAAAUACAGUCCGUCUAUAAAAUGCCCAACGAUGAUAGCAAAUUCUAUGCCACAUUCACAACGAAUACAAACGGAUUAAUUGGCUCGGCGGUCUGCAGCUACGAUAUAAGGGAUAUCAAUGCGGCCUUUGAAGGCAAGUUCAAGGAGCAGGCGUCAUCGAACAGCGCCUGGUUGCCAGUGCUGAACUCAAAAGUGCCGGAGCCACGUCCGGGCACAUGCCACAACGACACCGCAACACUGCCGGACUCGGUGUUGAAUUUCAUACGCAAACAUCCGCUAAUGGACAAGGCGGUCGAUCAUGAAUUUGGCAAUCCUGUAUUUUACAAACGAGACGUUAUACUCACCCGCCUCGUUGUCGACAAAAUACGCAUAGACAAACUGAACCAAGAGUUUCUCGUGUACUUUGUGGCGACCAGCACUGGCCAGAUCUACAAGAUAGUGCAGUUCAUGCACUACGGACAGCGACACUCGAAUCUGGUGGACAUCUUCGAGGCGUCCCCGCGCAACGAACCUAUACGGGAGCUGACACUCAGCCAGAAGACGGCUUCCCUUUAUCUGGCCACUGACCAUCAAGUGAAGCAAAUUGAUCUGGCCAUGUGUGCACGUCGCUACGACAGCUGCUUCCGCUGUGUGGCGGAUCCCUAUUGCGGCUGGGACAAGGAGGUCAACGCCUGCCGGCCAUAUCAGCUGGGCCUGCUGCAGGACGUGGCCAAUGAGACGUCCGGCAUAUGCGAUACGAGCGUGCUGCGCAAGCGUGUUACUUCCUCCUACGGCCAGACGCUGCAUCUGUCCUGUUUCGUCAAGAUGCCCGACGUGCUGCGCAAGAAGCAGACACGCUGGUACCACCACUCUACAGAGAAGGGACGCUACGAAGUGCGCUACACACCCACCAAAUACAUUGAGACCAACGAAGGCGGCCUGGUGCUGCUGGCUGUAAACGAGGGCGAUGGCGGCCGAUAUGAUAGCUAUUUGGAUGGCACCCUGCUCUGCAGCUAUGGCGUCACCGUGGAUGCGCACAGAUGCUCGCCGCCUUCGCAGAAGCAGGACUACCAGAAGAUCUAUUCGCAUUGGUGCAACGAGUUCGAGAAAUACAAAUCAGCCAUGAAGCAAUGGCAGGCCAAACAGGAGCAAUGUGGCCUCAAGGAUAAAACGGCAACAGGCAGCAGCAGCGGCAGCAGCAUCAGCGGCAACGGCAAACAUGUCAACGAUGUGUUCAGCAACGACGCCCUGGUCUGACCCAGAAAGUACUUGUUCAGCUAUGAGUUCUUGUCGGCGGGUGUACGCCCAAAUUUCGGCCAUCAUUUGUACAUUUUCGUGUUUCUGCUAGCCCUGUGCACUAGUUACUAAAGUCUCUAGUCAAACUAGUUAAACCAGCAAAAACGUCAAGGCGCAGCAGCAGGGAGGAGAGUAAUCAGCACCCAGAAAGCAGUGACAAGAGCCGAGCAACCAACUACAAAGACUGAAAAUUUUAAGCUUUUGAAAGACAAUAUUUCAAUAUGUUUUCAAUAUGUGUUUUAUUAUUUUUUCUUUUGCUUCAUUUACAUGUACAGCAAUUGUUUAGUGCUCUACGUUUGCCAUUCGAAUUAACAACAAAUAUCAAAUAACAAUUUCAAAGCAAAACUCAAUAGUGCAACAAAAACAACAACAAACCACCAUCACUACUACAACAAAAGCAACAAAAACAACAAAAACGAAAACAACAGCAACAACAAAAUGUUUGAUUGAUUUGAAUAUUAAGGUACACACAACUAGCCAGAAUGCAGCAGAAAGCGCUAAGCAAAGUGAGUAAACGUUAAAAGUUACUAACAAAAGGAUCCUGCCAUAAUGAAAAAUGGAAAAUACGGUUUUACAUAGAACAGAGUCUCUAUUUCUAUUUCGAAUUCUAUUUCUAUUGCGAUUGCUUCAAAAAGAAAUCACUAAAUUAUGCUAAGAUAAAUUACGAGUAAUUUAAAAAGCGCAAAUACAAACCACCUACAUGAAACACAGACACAAACACACUCACAUAGGCUACAAACAGACAUAGGCUACAAGGACAUCAUUCUAUUUGAGCUCAACGGUUUUUUGCCUCAGUUUUGUGUAUAAAUUUUAAUAUGCAUUUGAGUUUAGGUUCUAGGAUUGUGUGCAUACCCUUUGACAUGUACACUCAACAAAAUAUUAAGUCUACAUUUUAGAAAAUCGCUAUCAAUAGAAAUGUCUCUUAAUUUUAGAGAUGUUUCCUGUUUAAACAAAAUGUUCCUUAUAGGAGAAUAUUUUUGGUAAAACACGAACAUUUACUAAAAUUAACAAAAUUGUUGAUAGCGAUUUUUUAUAAUUUAGGUUCAACAUUUAUUUGAGUGUACAAAAACAAAUGCAAAACAAAAUAUAAGAGAUAGCGUCGCUUGGCCAUGGGAAGAUCUUAAACGAAUUUGUAUAUUAACUAGCAAUAUUUGUUUAAUAAUUCUAGUAUAAGGUUUAUGAAUAGCUAUGUAUAAAUAGGUCGUAGAUAUUGUAUUUAAAAAAUAAUUGAAUACAACCUCUGGGUGUGCAUUGUAUUUUACGGAACCAAAAUUUCAUAAAAUAUUCAGAAACAGCCCAACUCUUGGCUCUGAUAUGGUCUCUAGGUUAAGGCAAGAGUUUGUACAUAACGUCGCUUUAGUUAUAAUCAAACCCCUUUAACAGUUAAUAAGCAUUUAGUUUACUUAACACAAAACUCAAGUAUUUAGUAUUGGCAUAUUAAAGGAAAAAUUCGUGUAAGCUGGCAUUUAAUUUAAAUUCUUAAUAGACUUUGGUUAAAAAAAAAAUGAGUUUUUGGGCAAAUAAAAAAUAACACGCUGACGGUAUUUUGGCCGUCGUUGUAUAGAUUGCGCGUUAGCCUCAUGUUUACUAUAAGCAAUAUAUAUAUACAUACAUAUAGUUACUGCAGAUUGAGACCAAUAUGCUCAUAUACAUACACAUACACACACAUCCAUAAAUACAUACAUUUAUAUAUAUACGUAUAUUUAACCAUAGAUAUAAGUAAGUUGGUGUGGCAAAUACAUUUUAGUAAUGUUCAACUAAAUUCUCAAAUCGCAGUCGUUGCAUUAUAUUAACAUGUAUGCGUAGUACCCCAAUUCGGAAUUAAGUAAAAUGCAUUCAAAUCUAUUGUAUGUAGAGUAAUACAUACGUAUAUCUAAUAGAUGGCCGUUGAAUAAAUCAAUAUUUAAUGAGCUAGCGAUAAAACAGAAAAUAAUUAACUAAUAAUAUUAACACAAACAACAACAAUAUAACUGCCAUUAAGUAUGGAACUGCAUUUUGAAAUACAUGGAAAACUAAACGCUUUUCUGAACAUUAAAACAUGCAAAUUGAGGAAGUGCAUUAACAUAAAUCCCAUAGGUACUUACAACUGCCAAUAUAAGUAUAUACAUAUAUGCGUAAAUUAACAAAAUAUUUUUCUAAAAGUUUUCUCAGCAAAAGCAACAAAAUUUUAAUGUUUCCAUCUAGAAGUUACCCACAAACACACACGUUUUAGCUUACUACUCGAAUCUAAUCCAUUGUAAAUGAAACUACAAAAAAAA